rnacentral:antisense_RNA from 1 species
CAAGAACUUCGGAGCUCAGAACAGGUGAUACUCACUCCUCCUUUGGGGAGAUGCCGUGGGCAUGGCUUCACUUUUCAGCUGGAUUAUAAAGGAUGUGAAGUUAGCCUGACUGAGCAGGAGGGGAGGGAAGACAGCACUCCAGGAAAGUGGAACGAACAACAGAGUCCAAAGGGCCCUCCAGCCUACCCAGUCCCAAGUACCUGGAAGAAGCUCUCCACGUGUUCCCUUGGGGCCUCCUCCCGGAGUGCAGGGUCAUACAGGUUGAAGGCCCAAUUAAGCCUGUCAUCUACAGUUCCCCGAAGAAUCACGGACAAACCAGCCACAAAGUCCUGGGAAGGAGGCAGGAGGGAGCUGUGUCCUCGGGUACUCUUCACCCAACCCCUUCUCUGGGUUUGGCCUGGAGAUCCUGGCCCUGAAGUCCAGGAAACAGGCUUCCCUGGCCCAACUCGCCCAGCUCACCUCAAAACUGACCGAGCCAUCAUGGUUGGUGUCAAAGGCAUUGAAGAGGAAAGUGGCAUAGGUGCUGGAGUCUGCAGGGUGAGUGUGGAGAAGUUGGCUUCCACACAGAAGAGGACUUCCUCCCUCUGCGGAGCUCCCCAUACCCCCCAUCACCUUGGCAUUCCCAGCUCCUCCAGAAUCCGUCCCUCCCUUAGCCUAGAGAAGGACAGCUGCUUCCCCUUGGGCCUUGUCCGCUCACCUCCUUGAGGAAAGAACUGGGAGUAAAUCUGCUUGAAGUUCUCCUCAUUGACAAUUCCGCUGGGACAUUCCUGGAAGGAGAGGGCACCAGGCUGAGGGCAGAGACAAAAUCCCCUUCCAUUCACCGCCCCCACCCUCCAUGGCCCAAGACUCC